rnacentral:rRNA from 2 species
AAAUUGAAGAGUUUGAUCAUGGCUCAGAUUGAACGCUGGCGGCAGGCCUAACACAUGCAAGUCGAACGGUAACAGGAAGAAGCUUGCUUCUUUGCUGACGAGUGGCGGACGGGUGAGUAAUGUCUGG